rnacentral:rRNA from 1 species
UACAGGGGGGGCAAGCGUUGUUCGGAAUUACUGGGCGUAAAGGGCCAGUAGGCGGCCGAUUAAGUCCGACGUGAAAUCCCCAGGCUUAACCUGGGAACUGCGUCGGAUACUGAUUGGCUUGAAUUCGGGAGAGGGAUGCAGAAUUCCAGGUGUAGCGGUGAAAUGACGUAGAUAUCUGGAGGAAUACCGGUGGCGAAGGCGGCAUCCUGGAC